rfam:Ictidomys tridecemlineatus contig042162, whole genome shotgun sequence.
AUACUCUGGUUUCUCUUCAGAUCGUAUAAAUCUUUCGCCUUUUACUAAAGAUUUCCGUGGAGAGGAACAACUCUGCACUGGGAGUCUGUCUCUAGGUCUGUCGAUGUGGAUAUGAAUAUAGU